rnacentral:rRNA from 1 species
GUGUCAGUAUCAGUCCAGGUGGUCGCCUUCGCCACUGGUGUUCCUUCCUAUAUCUACGCAUUUCACCGCUACACAGGAAAUUCCACCACCCUCUACCAUACUCUAGCUUGUCAGUUUUGAAUGCAGUUCCCAGGUUGAGCCCGGGGCUUUCACAUCCAACUUAACAAACCACCUACGCGCGCUUUACGCCCAGUAAUUCCGAUUAACGCUUGCACCCUCUGUAUUACCGCGGCUGCUGGCACAGAGUUAGCCGGUGCUUAUUCUGUCGGUAACGUCAAAACAGCAACGUAUUAAGUUACUGCCCUUCCUCCCAACUUAAAGUGCUUUACAAUCCGAAGACCUUCUUCACACACGCGGCAUGGCUGGAUCAGGCUUUCGCCCAUUGUCCAAUAUUCCCCACUGCUGCCUCCCGUAGGAGUCUGGACCGUGUCUCAGUUCCAGUGUGACUGAUCAUCCUCUCAGACCAGUUACGGAUCGUCGCCUUGGUGAGCCAUUACCUCACCAACUAGCUAAUCCGACCUAGGCUCAUCUGAUAGCGCAAGGCCCGAAGGUCCCCUGCUUUCUCCCGUAGGACGUAUGCGGUAUUAGCGUCCCUUUCGAGACGUUGUCCCCCACUACCAGGCAGAUUCCUAGGCAUUACUCACCCGUCCGCCGCUGAAUCAGAGAGCAAGCUCUCUUCAUCCGCUCGACUUGCAUGUGUUAGGCCUGCCGCCAGCGUUCAAU